GACGAACGCUGGCGGCGUGCUUAACACAUGCAAGUCGAACGGAAAGGCCCUGCUUUUGUGGGGUGCUCGAGUGGCGAACGGGUGAGUAACACGUGAGUAACCUGCCCUUGACUUUGGGAUAACUUCAGGAAACUGGGGCUAAUACCGGAUAGGAGCUCCUGCUGCAUGGUGGGGGUUGGAAAGUUUCGGCGGUUGGGGAUGGACUCGCGGCUUAUCAGCUUGUUGGUGGGGUAGUGGCUUACCAAGGCUUUGACGGGUAGCCGGCCUGAGAGGGUGACCGGCCACAUUGGGACUGAGAUACGGCCCAGGCUCCUACGGGAGGCAGCAGUGGGGAAUAUUGCACAAUGGGCGGAAGCCUGAUGCAGCAACGCCGCGUGCGGGAUGACGGCCUUCGGGUUGUAAACCGCUUUCGCCUGUGACGAAGCGUGAGUGACGGUAAUGGGUAAAGAAGCACCGGCUAACUACGUGCCAGCAGCCGCGGUGAUACGUAGGGUGCGAGCGUUGUCCGGAUUUAUUGGGCGUAAAGGGCUCGUAGGUGGUUGAUCGCGUCGGAAGUGUAAUCUUGGGGCUUAACCCUGAGCGUGCUUUCGAUACGGGUUGACUUGAGGAAGGUAGGGGAGAAUGGAAUUCCUGGUGGAGCGGUGGAAUGCGCAAAUAUCAGGAGGAACACCAGUGGCGAAGGCGGUUCUCUGGGCCUUUCCUGACGCUGAGGAGCGAAAGCGUGGGGAGCGAACAGGCUUAGAUACCCUGGUAGUCCACGCUGUAAACGGUGGGUACUAGGUGUGGGGUCCAUUCCACGGGUUCCGUGCCGUAGCUAACGCUUUAAGUACCCCGCCUGGGGAGUACGGCCGCAAGGCUAAAACUCAAAGGAAUUGACGGGGCCCCGCACAAGCGGCGGAGCAUGCGGAUUAAUUCGAUGCAACGCGUAGAACCUUACCUGGGUUUGACAUGGAUCGGGAGUGCUCAGAGAUGGGUGUGCCUCUUUUGGGGUCGGUUCACAGGUGGUGCAUGGCUGUCGUCAGCUCGUGUCGUGAGAUGUUGGGUUAAGUCCCGCAACGAGCGCAACCCUUGUUCACUGUUGCCAGCACGUUAUGGUGGGGACUCAGUGGAGACCGCCGGGGUCAACUCGGAGGAAGGUGGGGAUGACGUCAAGUCAUCAUGCCCCUUAUGUCCAGGGCUUCACGCAUGCUACAAUGGCUGGUACAGAGAGUGGCGAGCCUGUGAGGGUGAGCGAAUCUCGGAAAGCCGGUCUCAGUUCGGAUUGGGGUCUGCAACUCGACCUCAUGAAGUCGGAGUCGCUAGUAAUCGCAGAUCAGCAACGCUGCGGUGAAUACGUUCCCGGGGCU
rnacentral:rRNA from 1 species